rnacentral:rRNA from 1 species
AGAGUUUGAUCCUGGCUCAGGAUGAACGCCGGCGGCGUGCUUAACACAUGCAAGUCGAACGAACCUACGGGUUAGUGGCGGACGGGUGAGUAACGCGUGAGAAUCUGCCCUCAGGAGGGGGAUAACGGCUGGAAACGGCCGCUAAUACCCCAUAUGCCGAGAGGUGAAACGAGUUUUCGCCUGAGGAUGAGCUCGCGUCUGAUUAGCUAGUUGGUGGGGUAAGAGCCUACCAAGGCAUCGAUCAGUAGCUGGUCUGAGAGGAUGAUCAGCCACACUGGGACUGAGACACGGCCCAGACUCCUACGGGAGGCAGCAGUGGGGAAUUUUCCGCAAUGGGCGAAAGCCUGACGGAGCAACGCCGCGUGAGGGAUGAAGGCCUCUGGGCUGUAAACCUCUUUUAUCAAGGAAGAAGAUCUGACGGUACUUGAUGAAUAAGCCACGGCUAAUUCCGUGCCAGCAGCCGCGGUAAUACGGGAGUGGCAAGCGUUAUCCGGAAUUAUUGGGCGUAAAGCGUCCGCAGGCGGCCUGAUAAGUCUGUUGUCAAAGCGUGGAGCUCAACUCCAUUUCGGCAAUGGAAACUGUGAGGCUUGAGUGUGGUAGGGGCAGAGGGAAUUCCCGGUGUAGCGGUGAAAUGCGUAGAUAUCGGGAAGAACACCUGUGGCGAAGGCGCUCUGCUGGGCCAUAACUGACGCUCAUGGACGAAAGCCAGGGGAGCGAAAGGGAUUAGAUACCCCUGUAGUCCUGGCCGUAAACGAUGAACACUAGGUGUCGGGGGAAUCGACCCCCUCGGUGUCGUAGCCAACGCGUUAAGUGUUCCGCCUGGGGAGUACGCACGCAAGUGUGAAACUCAAAGGAAUUGACGGGGGCCCGCACAAGCGGUGGAGUAUGUGGUUUAAUUCGAUGCAACGCGAAGAACCUUACCAGGGUUUGACAUCCUGCGAAUCCCUUGGAAACGAGGGAGUGCCUUCGGGAGCGCAGAGACAGGUGGUGCAUGGCUGUCGUCAGCUCGUGUCGUGAGAUGUUGGGUUAAGUCCCGCAACGAGCGCAACCCACGUCUUUAGUUGCCAGCAUUGAGUUGGGCACUCUAGAGAGACCGCCGGUGAUAAACCGGAGGAAGGUGUGGAUGACGUCAAGUCAUCAUGCCCCUUACAUCCUGGGCUACACACGUACUACAAUGCUACGGACAAAGGGCAGCAAACUCGCGAGAGCUAGCAAAUCCCAUAAACCGUGGCUCAGUUCAGAUCGUAGGCUGCAACUCGCCUACGUGAAGGAGGAAUCGCUAGUAAUCGCAGGUCAGCAUACCGCGGUGAAUACGUUCCCGGGCCUUGUACACACCGCCCGUCACACCAUGGAAGUUGGCCACGCCCGAAGCCGUUACUCCAACCCUUGUGGAGGAGGACGUCGAAGGUGGGGCUGAUGACUGGGGUGAAGUCGAAACAAGGUA